CAGCAGCCGCGGUAAUACAGAGGGUGCGAGCGUUAAUCGGAUUUACUGGGCGUAAAGCGUGCGUAGGCGGCUUCUUAAGUCGGAUGUGAAAUCCCUGAGCUUAACUUAGGAAUUGCAUUCGAUACUGGGAAGCUAGAGUAUGGGAGAGGAUGGUAGAAUUCCAGGUGUAGCGGUGAAAUGCGUAGAGAUCUGGAGGAAUACCGAUGGCGAAGGCAGCCAUCUGGCCUAAUACUGACGCUGAGGUACGAAAGCAUGGGGAGCAAACAGGAUUAGAUACCCGGGUAGUCCCUGUCUCUUAUAU
rnacentral:rRNA from 1 species